GACAGUGUAGUAUAAUGGGUAAGGUGUUGGCCUUGUAACCUAAAGGUCACAGGUUCGAUAUCCUGGUGUAGGUA
rnacentral:tRNA from 1 species